AGACCCGAAACCCGGUGAUCUAGCCAUGGGCAGGUUGAAGGUUGGGUAACACUAACUGGAGGACCGAACCGACUAAUGUUGAAAAAUUAGCGGAUGACCUGUGGCUGGGGGUGAAAGGCCAAUCAAACCGGGAGAUAGCUGGUUCUCCCCGAAAGCUAUUUAGGUAGCGCCUCGUGAAUUCAUCUCCGGGGGUAGAGCACUGUUUCGGCUAGGGGGCCAUCCCGGCUUACCAACCCGAUGCAAACUGCGAAUACCGGAGAAUGUUAUCACGGGAGACACACGGCGGGUGCUAACGUCCGUCGUGAAGAGGGAAACAACCCAGACCGCCAGCUAAGGUCCCAAAGUCAUGGUUAAGUGGGAAACGAUGUGGGAAGGCCCAGACAGCCAGGAUGUUGGCUUAGAAGCAGCCAUCAUUUAAAGAAAGCGUAAUAGCUCACUGGUCGAGUCGGCCUGCGCGGAAGAUGUAACGGGGCUAAACCAUGCACCGAAGCUGCGGCAGCGAACGUAUCACC
rnacentral:rRNA from 14 species